UACGGGGGGAGCAAGCGUUGUUCGGAUUUACUGGGCGUAAAGGGCGCGUAGGCGGCCAGCACAAGUCAGUUGUGAAAUCUCCGGGCUUAACUCGGAAAGGUCAACUGAUACUGUGCGGCUAGAGUGCGGAAGGGGCAACUGGAAUUCUUGGUGUAGCGGUGAAAUGCGUAGAUAUCAAGAGGAACACCGGUGGCGAAGGCGGGUCUCUGGGCCGAUACUGACGCUGAGGAGCGAAAGCGUGGGGAGCGAACAGG
rnacentral:rRNA from 1 species